rnacentral:rRNA from 1 species
UCUUUUUCCACCGGAGCUUGCUCCACCGGAAAAAGAAGAGUGGCAACGGGUGAGUAACACGUGGGUAACCUGCCCAUCAGAAGGGGAUAACACUUGGAAACAGGUGCUAAUACCGUAUAACAAUCGAAACCGCAUGGUUUUGAUUUGAAAGGCGCUUUCGGGUGUCGCUGAUGGAUGGACCCGCGGUGCAUUAGCUAGUUGGUGAGGUAACGGCUCACCAAGGCCACGAUGCAUAGCCGACCUGAGAGGGUGAUCGGCCACAUUGGGACUGAGACACGGCCCAAACUCCUACGGGAGGCAGCAGUAGGGAAUCUUCGGCAAUGGACGAAAGUCUGACCGAGCAACGCCGCGUGAGUGAAGAAGGUUUUCGGAUCGUAAAACUCUGUUGUUAGAGAAGAACAAGGAUGAGAGUAACUGUUCAUCCCUUGACGGUAUCUAACCAGAAAGCCACGGCUAACUACGUGCCAGCAGCCGCGGUAAUACGUAGGUGGCAAGCGUUGUCCGGAUUUAUUGGGCGUAAAGCGAGCGCAGGCGGUUUCUUAAGUCUGAUGUGAAAGCCCCCGGCUCAACCGGGGAGGGUCAUUGGAAACUGGGAGACUUGAGUGCAGAAGAGGAGAGUGGAAUUCCAUGUGUAGCGGUGAAAUGCGUAGAUAUAUGGAGGAACACCAGUGGCGAAGGCGGCUCUCUGGUCUGUAACUGACGCUGAGGCUCGAAAGCGUGGGGAGCAAACAGGAUUAGAUACCCUGGUAGUCCACGCCGUAAACGAUGAGUGCUAAGUGUUGGAGGGUUUCCGCCCUUCAGUGCUGCAGCUAACGCAUUAAGCACUCCGCCUGGGG